GUCUACAAGUCUCCCCCUCCACCAUCUCCUUCACCUCCUCCUCCCCAUACUCACUCUCCUCCCCCACACUACUACAAAUCCCCUCCACCUCCUCGCCACUACAAGUCCCCUCCACCUCCUCGCCACUACAAGUCCCCUCCACCACCACAUCCUCGCCACUACAAGUCCCCUCCACCUCCACCUCCACCUCCUCGCCACUACAAGUCCCCUCCACCUCCUCGCCACUACUAAGCCUAUUUACGGCUACAGUUACAUAAAACAACUUGAAUUUUCAUAUCUACCAUGUAAUAUCAUAUCUAUUGUAAAGCAUAACUCGGUGUAUUACUUAUUUAAAUAAAUAAAAGCGAAGCAAAUGAUUAAU
rnacentral:lncRNA from 1 species